UGAUUGGUCCAAGUUUCGGACCUCCAGCGCCGCGACGUUGAAGCGGUUGAUGUAGGCCCGAAUGGACUCCCCUUCCCUUUGCUUGAUGUUGAUGAGGGACUCCGAACCCUUCCGGGGGUGCCGGCUGCUGACAAAAUGGGCCACAAAUUGGUGGCUCAUUUGAUCGAAAGAAAAGAUGGUACCCAAUUUCAAAGUCGAGUACCAGUUCCUUGC
rnacentral:lncRNA from 1 species